CCUACGGGAGGCUGCAGUGGGGAAUAUUGCACAAUGGGCGGAACCCUGAUGCAGCGACGCCGCGUGAGUGAAGAAGGAUUUCGGUUUGUAAAGCUCUGUCAGCAGGGAAGAAAAUGACGGUACCUGACUAAGAAGCCCCGGCUAACUCCGUGCCAGCAGCCGCGGUAAUACGUAGGGGGCAAGCCUUAUCCGGAUUUACUGGGUGUAAAGUGAGCGUAGACGGUUCAGCAAGUCUGAUGUGAAAGCUCGGGGCCCAACCCAGGGACGGCAUUGGAAACUGGAGAACUGGAGUUCAGGAGAGGUAAGUGGAAUUCCAAGUGUAGCGGUGAAAUGCGUAGAGAUUAGGAGGAACACCAGUGGCGAAGGCGGCUUACUGGACUGUAACUGACGCUGAGGCGCGAAAGCGUGGGGAGCAAACAGGAUUAGAUACCCGGGUAGUC
rnacentral:rRNA from 1 species